GUUUUAUUCGGCAGCCUCUCGACGCUUCAACGCCCGAGGACGCAAGAGAGGACAACGGAGGACGGAGAACCGAGGACGGAGGACGCCGUGCUCUCCUCCUUUCUCUCUCCUGGAAAUGCGCCGCCUUUCCCACUAGACAUCAUUUCCCCGAGUACAAAGACUACAUACAGUGAUACGCUCUGCGUAGCUAGCUCGUAGCGGCACCUACGCGUGUAAAUACAAGUUCACAGUAAGCAAGCCAGCCUUUUGAAAAUGCACAUUGGUGUUAGGUCAAAACAUGAGGCUGGACUUGCUACUCCAACAUUCCAGAGAAGGGGAGGGGAGGAGAAAUGGUUGUAGCGCAUUUGACUAAUGCCUGACCGAGUUGAACUCGGCUUCAUGGGUUCAAUCUCAAGUCUCCCCCCAUCCACCCAAACCGUGCUUCUCUAGUGGAUAUUGGCCUCGAAUGGCAACCCUUGAACCCAGAAUCGGCCGCAAACCGUCAUGUGUGUAACUAUUUGUAUUAACUGUCAUGUGCCUUACAAACUGUUUGUAUCCAAUGAGACAUGCUUGUUGCAAAAAAAAGAUUUAUUCAUAUUAUUCAUAUUUCAUUUCUAGCCUAAUACACAAAACAUGUGGUAGAGCAGUGAACAAUGGCAGUCAAGUAGUAGAGAGGGCGCCACUUCUAAUCUCUUCAUUUACCUGUACAAAACCCUACUCGAAACACAAAGUCGUUUGUUAAAAAGAAAAAUUUGAUUUUUUUUCUUUUUUUUUGUAAAUUUUUCAGUUUUUCUUUUGUUUUUCUUUCGUUUCUUUGACUGACAAACCACAAAUCUGACAACAAAUAGUUUCUAUCAAUGGACAGUUGGAGAAAAGAAAUUCAUUGGUAGGGCAAGGACCAUCAUGACUGUAAAUGAGUCAUUACACCUUCGAUGGUAAUUUUUGAACGCAAGUUUCGCCCAAGCCUACUUAGAAGGGGAGUUGUGAUGUAUAAGGGCGAGGCUGGUCCCUUCUCGCCUUUUCAAGGUGGAAACUGAAAAUGGUGAAAGACGUAGUAAACGGAGAGGAUUGAGAACGCGAGGAAAACUCUCAUCUGAGCCGGCCCACCCACCGCACAGAGGCUUGGAAAUGACACCCCCUUCACACACACCCAAUCAAGGCCCUUUUUUCUGUGCAACCGUUUAUCAUCAAACCUUUCUUGGGCCACCCUACUGAUGUUUAGCUUACCCUUUCUCGUGUGAAAAACCCGCCAUUGUUAGCUGAUACGUUUAUACGUUCACUUGCUUGAUGGUGUGCAUCAAGUCGUUGUGCCUAAUGCUGGAGGACUUAACCGAGAUCUUGAAUGAGUGAAUGGACCCCCUUCUGGAAUUGAUCCCAUUCUUCCAAUCUUGCAAUGGUGGGUUUAGCUUGACUCGCUUGAAGCCAAAAAGGAUGGAAUUGUGGACGACAACAAGUUAUUUUGGGACUUAAUAGAUUAAGCCCCUGGGGAAGCCAUAUAUAGUGAACGAGAUCCAAGGAGGUGACAAUUGAUGUGGUCUGGCCAAGCUUUUCGAUCAACAAAUGACAAUUCUCGGAAUAUAGUAUACAGUAUAUGUA